AUGGAGUAUCAACCCAUCAUCUCUGCCUUGGACAUCCGCACCGAGCCGAUCACCGUCGAGAUCUUGUUCUCCAUGGUGGCCAACUUCGAUCAGAGAGUCGAGAUGUUCCACGGGACAGGUUCCAGCUUCAAAUCUUCAGGAAACGCAGCUUCCCGCGGCGGCCGCCAAGGAACUCCCAAGGGCUUUCACGGCCAGUAG
rnacentral:rRNA from 1 species